rnacentral:rRNA from 1 species
AACGAACGCUGGCGGCGCGCCUAAUACAUGCAAGUCGAGCGAGAAGACGUAGCAAUACGUUUGUAAAGCGGCGAGCGGGUGAGGAAUACAUGGGUAACCUACCCUCGAGUGGGGAAUAACUAGCCGAAAGGUUAGCUAAUACCGCGUACGCUCCUUGGACUUCGGUUCAGGGAGGAAAGCGAUACCGUGGGUAUCGCGCUCUUGGAUGGGCUCAUGUCCUAUCAGCUUGUUGGUGAGGUAACGGCUCACCAAGGCUUCGACGGGUAGCUGGUCUGAGAGGACGAUCAGCCACACUGGCACUGCGACACGGGCCAGACUCCUACGGGAGGCAGCAGUAAGGAAUAUUGCGCAAUGGGCGAAAGCCUGACGCAGCGACGCCGCGUGGGGGAUGAAGGUCUUCGGAUUGUAAACCCCUUUCGGGUAGGGAAGAU